AUUGUUGUUCUUGAGCUGGAAAAGCUACAAUUCCCUGCACCAUCCCUGGGCUAUUACAAUAGUCCUUCUCUAGACAUAACAUCUUAAAGGUCCUGAGUUAGAAAGACUGACUGGUUCUUAAAAGUUUUGUAGUUAACAUGGUUUGACAUUAUUAACACAAAUUCAUCGUAUUAAAAGCGAUACUUUUCCAAGUAAUACUCAAUGCAAAGAAUGGUGAUAGAGUCUAAGCAAACAGACCAGAAAUUAAGUAAACAGCUAGACUGAACAUGAACAGCUUAUCAUAGUUAGAAAUACUGUCUGGUUCUUGACAGUUUUGUAGUUUACAUGGUUAGACAUUUUUAUCUCAACCUUUUUGGUUAGGUAAUUCCAUUCACAUGUACAAAAACAUCAGAUGUUUAAGAAGAUUCAGUUCUACAACCAUAAAAGAGACUUGAUUAACCAGGGAAACGUGCAAAACCAAGACCUUAGAACACUAACUCUUCGUUUAACUUUCAGCUCUCAACUAACUAAUGUAAGAUUUGUUGUUGAGCUGGAAAAACUACAAUUCCCGGGACAUGAACAGCUACUUAGAGGUCCUGAGUAAGAAAGACUUUCUAGUUCUUGAAGGUCUUGUUUGUAGUUUACAUGUUUAGACAUUCUUAUCUCAAACUUUUCGGAUUCAAAGCGAUAGUUCCAAGUAACACGAAGCAAUACUAAGACCGGCGAUGGACUUUAACCAAACAGAACAAAAAUUAAGCAAUGUGAGUAAUACAAAUAGCUAGACUUAUCAUAGGUACUGAGUUAGAAAGAUUGACUGGUUCUUGAAGGUUUUGUAGUUUACAUGGUUAGACAUUUUUA
rnacentral:lncRNA from 1 species